rnacentral:ncRNA from 1 species
GGGAGCCGGAUGAUGCGAGAGUAUCACGUCCGGUUCUGAGAGAGCGUGGGUGUUGGUUUUCAC